rnacentral:tRNA from 1 species
GGGCGAGUGGCGGAAUGGCAGACGCGCUGGCUUCAGGUGCCAGUGUCCGCAAGGACGUGGGGGUUCAAGUCCCCCCUCGCCCACC